AGUUUGAAAAUCAAAGUUUGCUAAUUCAAAUGACAUUAAUAACAGUAAAGUAGUUUUAUUUUAUGUAUUUGGAAGGAAAUUUCGUAAGUCUUGGCAAAGAAGAUGGACGUCGUGAAAAUAAUGGGUCAAAUACUGGAAUUUAUUUUGCGUUGCAACUGAUUCUUAUCAAAAGAAAAAAUAGAUGGUGGAAGGGCUAUAGAUAUUUAAGCUAUUAUAUAGUUAGUGUUAAUAAAAUAUAAAUUGUGUUAAGGAUUUGACCAUCGAAUAUAUUAAAUAUUGUGUAAUGCUAUGCCUAUA
rnacentral:misc_RNA from 1 species